rnacentral:misc_RNA from 1 species
GCUGAAGAACGUAGCGAAAUGCGAUAAGUAGUGUGAAUUGCAGAAUUCAGUGAAUCAUCGAAUCUUUGAACGCACAUUGCGCCCUUUGGUAUUCCAAAGGGCAUGCCUGUUCGAGCGUCAUUUGUACCCUCACGCUUUGCUUGGUGUUGGGCGUCUUGUCUCUAGCUUUGCUGGAGACUCGCCUUAAAGUAAUUGGCAGCCGGCCUACUGGUUUCGGAGCGCAGCACAAGUCGCACUCUCUAUCAGCAAAGGUCUAGCAUCCACUAAGCCUUUUUUUCAACUUUUGACCUCGGAUCAGGUAGGGAUACCCGCUGAACUUAAGCAUAUCAAUAAGCGGAGGA